rnacentral:rRNA from 1 species
AAUCUUCCGCAAUGGACGAAAGUCUGACGGAGCAACGCCGCGUGAGUGAUGAAGGUUUUCGGAUCGUAAAACUCUUCUGUUAGGGAAGAACACGUAUCGGAGUCACUGCCUGUACCUUGACUGUACCUGACGAUAAAGCCACCGCUCACUACGUGCCAGCCGCCGCGGUAAUAUGUAGGUGGCAAGCGUUGUCCGGAUUUAUUGGGCGUAAAGCGCGCGCAGGCGGUCUUUUAAGUCUGAUGUGAAAUCUUACAGCUUAACUGUAAGCGGUCAUUGGAAACUGGGAGACUUGAGUGCAGAAGAGGAGAGUGGAAUUCCAUGUGUAGCGGUGAAAUGCGUAGAGAUAUGGAGGAACACCAGUGGCGAAGGCGGCUUUCUGGUCUGUAACUGACGCUGAGGCGCGAAAGCGUGGGGAGCAAACA